rnacentral:rRNA from 1 species
UGGGGAAUAUUGCACAAUGGGCGCAAGCCUGAUGCAGCCAUGCCGCGUGUAUGAAGAAGGCCUUCGGGUUGUAAAGUACUUUCAGUCGGGAGGAAGGUGGUAAGGUUAAUAACCUUAUCAAUUGACGUUACCGACAAAAGAAGCACCGGCUAACUCCGUGCCAGCAGCCGCGGUAAUACGGAGGGUGCAAGCGUUAAUCGGAAUUACUGGGCGUAAAGCGCACGCAGGCGGUUGAUUGAGUCAGAUGUGAAAUCCCCGGGCUUAACCCGGGAAUUGCAUCUGAUACUGGUCAGCUAGAGUCUUGUAGAGGGGGGUAGAAUUCCAUGUGUAGCGGUGAAAUGCGUAGAGAUGUGGAGGAAUACCGGUGGCGAAGGCGGCCCCCUGGACAAAGACUGACGCUCAGGUGCGAAAGCGUGGGGAGCAAACAGG